UUAUUAAUCCAGACAAGCAUAUGGGGGUCAUUAUGUGGCACAAUGGGGAAAUCUGAGAUUCUGAGAAUACCACAGCUUCUGUCUGUCUCAGUAACAAAUGCCCUUUAUUUCCUCACAAUCAGCUUUGCUUUUUAAUUUUUGCUCUGUAUACAAGACACACUGGUUAUUUUUCCCACAGCUCCUUGUCUGCGCUAGCAAAUAAGAGAUAAGAAAUCUCAGCUGAUUUUCAGAUGUUCCUGAAAUAUUUAUAUAUUUAGAUCUGAUAUUUGAAUUCUGGUUGUGCCCUCUCACAGGCUCAGUGGUGAUUUCGCUAGAAAUGUGGCAAAAAACCACUCAUGUCUUCUGACCUGGAAAUGGGGAAAGAAUAAUAACUUUCUUUACAAUGUUCUGCUCUUGAGUCUACUGAGCUGGUGAAGGAUAAAGUCAUCUCCUGGUAGAUGCUGGAAUAGCCAUAAACUGUGCUUUUCCUCUGGUCUCCGCCCGGAAAGAAAGUGAAAACUGAUCCUCUCCUUUGACUAUGGCCCUUUUGAACCAUUUAAGGCCCUCAAGCAAACUGCUAAAUACUGUAAGGAAACUGUAUCCCAUUUCUGAGAUAGACGAGAAAUUGCUCCUAGAGCCAGAUAACCCCUCGACUGCUACAUCUUCAGAGGAAAGGGUGCUCCAACCGUCAUGCACUUCCCACUUUUCAACAGAGUGAAUUGCC